AUGAACGCUAGCGACAGGCUUAACACAUGCAAGUCGAGGGGUAACAGGGUAGCAAUACCGCUGACGACCGGCGCACGGGUGAGUAACGCGUAUGCAACCUGCCUAUAACUGGGGAAUAGCUCCCUGAAAGGGGAAUUAACACCGCAUAACACUAUUGAUUCGCAUGGAUUAGUAGUUAAAUGUAGCGAUACAGGUUAUAGAUGGGCAUGCGUGACAUUAGCUAGUUGGUGAGGUAACGGCUCACCAAGGCUACGAUGUCUAGGGGUUCUGAGAGGAAGGUCCCCCCACACUGGUACUGAGACACGGACCAGACUCCUACGGGAGGCAGCAGUGAGGAAUAUUGGUCAAUGGGCGCAAGCCUGAACCAGCCAUGUCGCGUGCAGGAAGACUGCCCUAUGGGUUGUAAACUGCUUUUAUAGUAGAAGAAACACAUCUACGCGUAGAUGUCUGCCAGUAUACUAUGAAUAAGCAUCGGCUAACUCCGUGCCAGCAGCCGC
rnacentral:rRNA from 1 species